GUUGUUGAGUCGCUCUGGAGUCUGGACUCUUCAGGAAAUAUGCUUCUCAGGUUCUCCUUCAUUUCUCAAGCUUCUGCUGCUUUUACUUCCCUCUCGGACUCCUCAUCCCCAUCUCUUCUUACGCAUUUUGCUCCACCAAGUGCGCUGGGCCCGUUUUGGUUUAGUUCUUACUCUCUCUGCUUGAUCAAUUGGGCCACGGGUUGAUUCUUG